rnacentral:rRNA from 1 species
GAUAAACGCUGGCGGCGUGCCUUAUACAUGCAAGUCGAACGAAUCUUCUUCGGAAGAUGAGUGGCGAACGGGUGAGUAAUACAUAGGUAACCUGCCCCUGUGCGGGGGAUAACAGGAGGAAACUCCUGCUAAUAUCGCAUAGCCAUGAGCACCGCAUGGAGCUCAUGCCAAAUAUCCUUUCGGGGAUAGUGCAGGGAUGGACUUAUGGCGCAUUAGCUGGUUGGCGGGGCAACGGCCGACCAAGGCAACGAUGCGUAGCCGGCCUGGGAGGGCGGACGGCCAAAUUGGGACUGAGACACGGCCCAGACUCCUACGGGAGGCAGCAGUAGGGAAUUUUCGGCAAUGGGGGAAACCCUGACCGAGCAACGCCGCGUGAGCGAAGAAGGCCUUCGGGUCGUAAAGCUCUGUUGUAAAGGAAGAACGGCGCAUACAGGAAAUGGUAUGCGAGUGACGGUACUUUACCAGAAAGCCACGGCUAACUACGUGCCAGCCGCCGCAGUAAGAC